CAUUGUCAGUGGUGCCUCUCGAAGCAGAGCAAAGGGGAGAGAAAUACUCUGACCUUUCCCUUCCUCCCACCAGCACCUCCCAUUGGCCAAACCCAGCAGGAAGCCAACCUGCAAGUGAUCCUGGGAAAUGUAGCUUGCAAGGGUGAGCCUCUGUGACGCAGAGCAGAGAAGCUGCGGGGAUCUGAAAGCAAACAUGGUCUUUCCAGGACAUGCUCUGUGCUGGGAACUGGGGCGGAAAAAAUCAAACUGGACAAUCACAGCCCAAAGACACCCAUAAGCUAUACCAAUAGUUCCAGUGCAGUGUGCCGACUGCUUCCAAGGACCUAUAAAUAAGGUCCUUGAGGGAAUGCCUUCAUGUUUACCCUAUGUAUCCUUCAUGCCUGCAAAGCACAUGGCACAAAGUGGCACUCAGAAAAUUGGAAGAGGGUGGAGAAAGGAGGAAGACAGGCAAGAAGCAGCCAAGGCUGAGAAUUCUUUCACCGAGUUUGCAUGAAGCAUUUUCUGCUAGGCUGCUAUUGCUUCAAAAUGCUGUCAAAUAUGAAUGAGGAUUGCAAAACUAAUAGAAAUAUCUGAGAACCAAUAUACACAGCACAGUGAUCACUCUUCACCCUGCGCUCCAGACUCCUCACUGUUCCUCAAGGGGCCCUGCAUUUGCUUUUGCUCAUUCAUUCAUUCCAUGAAUGUUUAUUGAGUCGCUACUAUGUACCAGGCCCUCAGCCCUCAAGGACCUGAGGCCUGAUGGAAGAGACCAGCAUCAGAAUGUGAUGACAUUUAUAAUUGUACAGAUACAAACUGUAAAAUGUUCUAUGAAGGAAGAUCACAGGCAGCUGAGGGAAAGACUUGCAGGGAAACAAUCUGAUGAGAAGGAUAAGACCUCAAGAAUUAGGAAUGAGAUGGGGACAGGGUGGAAGUUAUUGCAGAUGGAAAGAACAGCCAAUAAAAAGGCCCAACACAUUUCUCCAUCAGAAGACCAACAACAUGGCUACUGAAAAUGGGAGAACUUGUCAAGAGAUGCAUCUGAAACAACAGGGAGGGAAAGGCACUAGAUUGGGGAGGGUGUAGGGCCAUGAACAGACAUGGGAUUGCCCCCCAACUGCAAUGAGAAGACAGUGAGAGAAUUUGAGAAGGAAGUAAUAAGAAAAAAAAAUCAUCCUUGCCCUCAAGGAAUUCACAAUGGUAUAAUUAGAUUAGAAGCUCCAAAAAUGUUAAUUUAGCCUUGGGUAAAAUUAUGAGAACACAAAAAAGAGAUCAUACUACUAUUUUAAAACAGGGCUUGGGAAGAUAUAUUCAGGGUGACGCUAAACACUCGGAGAAUUCUGUGUCUGUUCUGGCUAUUUCCCUUCUCAGUGAAGAUAAGAAAAGAGCAGGUUAGGAAAUAUUUAUGUUUUGGGGGCUACAGGAGCAGAAUGAACAGAAUAAUUGGCCAAAUCAGGGAAAAGUCUUCCUUAAGUUUAAGUGGAUACAGGCUGUUUCUUAUUAUAGGUUGAGUAUUUUUUAUCUGAAAUUUCUGGGACAGAAAUGUUUCAGAUUUGAGGUUUUUCAGAUUUUGAAGUAUUUAUAUUUACAGAAUGAGAUAUCUUGGGGGAUAAGACCCAAGUCUAAACGCAAAAUUCACUUAUGUUUCAUACACAUCUUGUACACCUAGGCUGAAGUUAAUUUGAUACAAUAUUUUAGGUAAUUUUGUGCAUGAAACAAAGUGUUGACUGUGUUUUGACUGGGACCCACCACAUGAGAUGAGCUGUGAAAUUUUCCACUUGUGGUGUCGUGUCAGUGCUCAAAGAAUUUAGGCUUUUGGAUUUUCAGAUUAGAGAUGCUCAGUGUUUAUGAUAAAUAACAAUUUCUUCAGUGUUUACUAGCAAAGAUAGGAAGCUUCAUGAGAUAUUCCUAAUUUACUCUUAAUUUAUUUUUUACAACUGCAUGUUUGGUAUUUGACAUUAUCUUUCUUCUCUUAGCCCAUUGGUUGGCAAUCUAUAGCCCAUGAGCCAAACCCAGCCCAUCACCUAUUUGUACACAGCCCAUGUGUAUUAACCUCAUCUUUUCUAUAUUCUGAGGCUUUGACAUCUGGAGCCUUGGUAACACUGGAGAUUGCCUCUCCUAGGAUUAGCUAACUCCUAAAGAUGAACUCACCCAUGAGUGUGAUUUUCAAAUACAAACCAACCAAAUCCAGAGCCCACAACCCCAAUCAUCUCCUUUAUUGAGCUUUCACACUCCAGGCAUUUAUCCACCUGCCCUAAUUACCCCAGGACCAGGUAUCAGACAACCAGGCAUAGUUUUUAUCCCCAGAGCCCACUGUAAUUAUUCAAACCAGCCAAGCUUAAACCUGCAUAUCUAGCUUACUCCAUUCCUUUCCACAAAAAUCACAAUAAAGGCUCUAGCAAUCUUUCCCUCCCCCUUUGCCUCCUGACCAGCCCCAAUGCUUCCAACACACAGGCCCUGUGUGGGCCCCCAAGGUGUGACAUGCCUCCUUCUCUUGGGAGCUGCGAGUAACAAGUCACAAACUAUGUUUUCUUUCUUCUUUUUUGUUUGUUUGUUUUGAGACAGAGUCUCACUCUGUUGCCCAGGCCAGAGUGCAGUGGUGCGAUCUUGGCUCACUGCAACCUCCAUCUCCCAGGUUCAAGUGAUUCUCUUAGUUCAGCCUCCUGAGUAACUGGGACUACAGGUGUGCACCACCACACCCAGCUACUUUUGUAUUUUUAGUAGAAACAGGGUUUCACCAUGUUGGCCAGGCUGCUCUGAAACUCCUGACCCCAAAUGAUCCACCCACCUUGGCCUCCCAAAGGGCUGGGAUUACUGGGAUGAGCCACUGCGCCUGGUCGACAAACUGUUUUUGAAGGCAAUCAUCUCUCAAUCUGUUGGCCUUCCUGGAGCUCAAAUUUUCUAUUAAUACACUAUCUUUUAAAACAUCAUGAGCUAAGAAUGGCUUUUACAUUCAUACAUGCUUGAAACAAAUCAAAAGACUGUUUCCUGACACAUGAAAAUUAUGUAAAAUUCAAAUUUUAUUGGAACCCAGCCAUUGUCAUUCCAUUACACAUCAUCUGUGGCUGCGUUUGUGCUAUGAUGGUAGAGUUGCAGAGUCGUGACAGGAAACUUAUAGUCUAUAAAACCUAAAAUAUUUACUAUCUUUACAGAAAUAGUUUGCUGACUCCUGCCUUAAUGUAUAGACAUGUUUGCUAUUUUAUUGGUUUACUUAAGCUAUAAACUUGUGUAACCCAUUGCUUUCUAUGUAUAGUAUAGAUCUGUUUAUAAUCUGAAAACUUCAGAAUCUCUAGGUCUAGGUUUCUUCCUAUAGUCUAUCCCAAAUUACUGAGCCUCCAGUGUUUUAUUGAUUUUUUAAAUGAUCCUUAGUAAAAAUAUUUUACAUUGUGACUCAAGACACUCACAUAAAUAAUAGAAACAAAUUUCAUGAAGCAUUACUCAUUCUUAAUGUGUGAAUCACUUUGACAGUUUCCGUUCUCUUCUACUCCAGUUUUUUAAAGUACCAGUCAAAAAUCUACCAAUUUCACACCCCACUUAUGGGUCAAUGCACACAUGUUAAUAAACAUCAUGAAUCUAACAGAUUCAAAUCUAAACAACACAAAAUGUUUCUCUUCUACACUGUCUACCAAGGAAGACGAGUACAGAAACAGCAAUAAAGUUUAGAUGAUAUGAGUUUAAAAGAAGUCUUUAGAAGCAAAGAGGGAUAGAGCUAUUUUUUUUUCAUGGCAUUGUUGGGUAGUUUCAUCAAGAAAGAUCUUGAAAGAUGGUCAGGAAAUCCUGGUAGAGAAGAAAAAAUUGGGGGAGGGCACAACUCGCCCCAUGUCAGAAUGACAUGCUCUGUAACAGAAACUCCACAGGUUAAGAACAAGGUCUUAAGAAAUUUUUUAUUUCUAGUCCCUAGUGUAAUGUUUUACACAAAGUAGUUGCUCAGUAAUUGUUUGUUAUGUGUCCACUGAGUAAUUGCUCCAGGACCUAUUUGAGCCCAACUCUACCCACCUCUAAAUAUGUAAAUUUGAGUUCUUAUAUCCUAUUUUUUCCCACUACUUUUCACUCCUAUUGGGUCAUUUUAAUUAAUGCAACUGACUUUUUUUGAAGGUAUACUGUGGUUAAUGUUUGAAACCAAGAUCCCAAAUUUGUUUCUACUGCUCUGGCUGCCAUGUUUGAUUCUUAAGAAAUUCAUCAGAAGGGACCCAGCAUUCAAACCCACACUGUGUUGCUGGUAGGCUUCCACUGUGAAUCUCUUUGUUUGGUCUAUCAGCCUCAAGGAUCUUCUGUAUGUGAGCUUAAGACCUCGAGAGGCCAGGCCAGGGCUGCCUGCUCUACACUUCCUUUUUCUGAAUGCACCCGGGCCCACUCGCCUGUCCCUCUUACUACAGAGAAGCCAGGAAGAAACAAAUGGAUUUCUGCCUCUUUACACUCACAUUCCAAAGGUUCUGCUUCUACAUGAUGCCAUGUGAAGUCCAGUGCCCCUCCAAGACUCCCAAGAUUCUUCAUGGUCCCUUUGGCUCUGAGUCCUAGCUUUUCAUGAACUCGUGAUAUCACUUGUGUUUGUUUCCUGUGAUGGGUUGUCUCUUUUCUUUACCCCAUUUCCAGGAUUCGUCAUUCACCCCAACCCAAGCCAAUCCACAAGGCUUUUCCCCAGAAUUUGGGAUAGUGGAGAUGUAUGUCACCAUAAGUCUAGCUGUUCUUUUCGUCCUAAAUAUUAUCUGCUUCUCUGUUUUCUAGGUCAGGCAUGUCACUCUCUUCCGGUAUGCCUUAAAAAUCAAUAGCUUGCUUUAUUAAGCAGAAAAUAGCAGAGUUCGCCUUCCUUGUAGUUCUGGGCCUCUCUGCCUGUACCAAACUCAUCCAUUCUGGACAAAAUAAAUUGUUCGUAAUGGGUUUCUCCAUUUCAGCAGUGUACUAAGGGGGUGAUGGAGGAUGGGAGUGGUCUGCCCUGGGUGCAAUAAGGGAGCGCCUGGGUGUAAAUAAUUUAAAAGCAAUAAUAAACUCAACUGAAUAUUCAUCUGCUUUCUAUUAUCACCAUGUGCCAGCAAUUCUAACAAUCUCAGCAAUAAAAUACUCCUCCCCACUGGAACCACUCCCACUGUUACCCUUGCCCAGUAGGACCCACUCCCACUGGUACCCUUGCCCACUGUGCUCCACUUUGGUAGGCACUGCUCCAGUUAGGAACACAAAACAUGCAGGCACCUUGAAAUGUCCAUUGUUCUCAUCCGCUCUGCCAGGGAGAUUUCAUUUUUCAAAGAUAGAAAACUUCUUCCUUCCUGGAAUUCUUUUUUCCAUUGGCUUCUAUGCCACUGCUCUCUCCUGGUUUUUCUCCACUGCCUCUACCUGUAUUUCCUUAGUCUCCUUCCAAAGUUCCCCCUUCUCUGUGAUAGACUCCUUCCCUGAACUAGUCAGGAAGUAGGCAUGGUUAGUUGAUUCUAAGGAGGUACUUACAUGAGCAACCCUUGCCCAAACUUUGCCAUGCAAAUGGAGCCGAAGGAAAAAUAGAGAAGCAUCAUGUUCUGGAGAGGGUUCCAAGGCAUAGCAAGAGAAGUGUUUCCAAAAUGGGGACUUGAAUUGAGCAAGAAGAGACAGAGUGAGGGAGGCAAGGCUAGUCAUCUGCUAUGUGAUGAAGGCAGCUCUCCUGAGGUCUGCUGCAAAAACAUUCUAUGCUAGAUUCAUGUGUAGGAUUUCAGGAAUGAGACAAAGGAUACAGCCAAACAGUCUUUGGCAGAAUUAUAUUACUCCACAGCUCAGCAGAAGGUUUGAAUCUAGAUAAUUGAGGUGAUGGUGGGAGUUUCUAGGUCGGAAAGGCAAAGAACUAGGAAAAACACUGGGAGUAGGUGACCAACCACAGCAGCCUGUGUGUUCCUCUCAUCUUAUAUCCCCCAAAUGAGAGCUGCUCGUCAGUAGUGCCCUAUCUCACAUAUGGCCAGCUAGGGUGAAGCAAAAAGCAAUCCACAAGCUGCCUAAUGGCCCAAUAUGUAUCAAGGUCUUUAUCUAGAAGUAAGUGUCUAAAGAGUAUCUCAGCACUGUGGACAUGGCCAGAGGGCAGGGUGCAACUUCAACACCUUGGAGAGUGGCCACAGGUGUUGCUGAUGUCUGGGAGGGAAGAGAAACAAGGAAAUGCAGCCUCUUCUAUCACAUGCACUUGUAAGGCAGAAAAAAUCUAAACACCCACACUAUGGGCACUAGCAAGGAAAGGAGUCAUUCUCUCAGAUCGGGAGGGAGAACUCUCUGAUCUUUCACUACCUUCCAUGAGGUUUAUCAUUCGGAGACACGAAGCAUCAGUCACUCUGACCCCACAUGCAGCAGGCACCUGAGGCCUUCCCGAAGUGGGUCCUCAGCACCCACUUUAUUCCACUUCACUUCCACUGUGGGAGGUUGAGUUCCAUGCAGUAUCUAGCUACAUCCACAUAUCCGUGCCUCCCUUCUCUGCUUUCCCAUUCACGUCUCCAUUCACCAAAGGCUGGCUCUGCACUGGCAUCUGACAUCCCCACAUGGACUGCUGUAAUCAGAUAGGAAGCUCCAGUCAACUGAAGCAUCUCCAAGAAUCUGAGUGGCUACCAGGCUGCAGGAAGGAAUCAACUCAUCUCUUUGGGUGCCCUACCAAGACAGACAAGAAGAACACUACAAAAAAAAAAAAAAAAAGAAAAUCAUAUGUGAUGAGGGUACUUUAUUUAUAUAUUGGAAGAAUUGGUGUAAAAUUUUGAGAAUGAGGACUCCUUAAGAAGACAUAAAAUCCAGAAGUUAUAAAUGAUUAGAUUGGUAUAUUAUACUAUCAUUUUUUAAUGUUUAUGAUAAAAGUUACCAGAAAGAAAAUGCAAAUGAUAGCGCAGACAAAAUACUUUUAAUACAUGUGAUACACAGGUUAGUAUACCUAAUAUACAAAGAAUGCCUACAAAUUUAUUUUAAAACAGACUAAAAGAAAAAUGGGCAAAGGAGUUGAACAGGCCAUUGAUAAAAUGAAGAAAUGCAGAUAACUAACAAACCUACAAUAGGAAACUCAAUCUCACUAGUAGGGAGAUGUAAAUUAACACAAAAAUGAAAUAGUUUUCACAUCUAAGAUUGGCAAAUAUUUAAAUAAUUUUAGUAAAAAAGAUUUCUAUUUUUACUGAUUUAAAUUGAUACAUAAUAGAUGUACAUGUUUUCAGGGUGCUUGUGAUAAUUUGAUAUGUUCAUACAAUCAGCAGUGUAACUGGGAUAUCUAUCACGUCAAACAUUUAUCUUUUUUUCAUGCUAGGAACAUUUGAAUUGUUCUCUUUUAGCUAUUUUGAAAUGUACAAUAGAUUAAUAUUAACUAUAUAUGGUCACCCUAUUGAUCUAUUGAACACAGGUCUUAUUUCUUCUAGUUGCAUAUUUGUAACAAAAAUUUAAAAGAGCUAACAUGCAGAACUGACAAAGAGGAAGGAAAUAAAAACGCCUAUGAUUGUUGGUGGUGAGUGAAUCCCUACACUUUUGAAAGAUACUUGGACAUUUAUUUAUUUAUUUAUUUUGAGAUGAGUGUCACUCUGUUGCCCAGACUGGAGUGCAGUGGCGUGAUUUUGGCUCACUGCAACCUCUGCCUCCCGGGUUCAAGUGAUUCUCCUGCCUCAGCCUCCCGAGUAUCUGGGACUACUGGUGCACGCCACUAUGCCCAGCUAAUUUUUUAUUAUUAUUAUUUUUAGUAGAGACAGGGUUUCACCAUGUUGGCCAGGCUGAUCUCAAACUCCUGACCUCAGGUGAUCCACCCUCCUUGGCCUCCGAAAGUGUUGGGAUUACAGGUGGGAGCCACCGCCUCCAGUCGUUACUUGGACAAUUUCUAAUAAAAUCACAAAUCCACAUACCUAUCGGACUAGAAAUCUCAUUUUGAGGAUCUAUUCUACAGAUAGAAAACAAGCAGUGUUUAGAUGCAAAACAAACAAUGAUUUUAAUGGCAAAAGGAGGUAAAAUUGUCAAAGGGAAAUUUUCCACUUACACUUGCCCCAGAAGAUGACAACAUAAAAUUAGAUAUUUCAUUCCAACUGAUUGAGAAAGAACCAUGAAAUUGAGUGACCCUAAGAAGACAGACCUAACAGAACUACUGGAAGAUCUUUGCUGACCAGUGAACAAUGGAAGAGACACAUGGACUCAUUCAACCCUUAAUUAGCAUCCUAGCCUGAACUCUCCCUUUCCUAGCACUCAAACCCUCCUAACUUUUCCCCUCUGCAAAGUUCUCAGUGGAUGUAUUCACUGACGUGUACUCCUUGCCAGGCACUUUAAUAAACGUUUUAUUUUUUUCAAUGCUCUUGUGGUUUUUGUCUUAUUAUUUGGCCAGAAAAAUUAAACCAC
rnacentral:lncRNA from 1 species